rnacentral:rRNA from 1 species
AUGGAGAUGUGCCAGAGGAAGAAGAAGCAGCUCGCCCCAUUGCUGAUCCUGGCCAUGCUCAUCAUCGCCUCCUUUGGGGUGGCGGUGGAGGGGAAGCCGGUGCACGACAUGUACACGCCGUGGUGCAUCGGGAAGUGCUACAAGACGGGCAACUGCAUGCGCUGCUGCAAGCACUUCGGCCACAUCCACGGCCGCUGCAGCCUCAUACACGGCAUGGGAUGCUACUGCUGGUACGACCCCGCCGCCCUCCGCCGCCGCUACCACAAGCAGCAGACAGUGACCGCGCCGCCACCAUCCGACCACCGUCUUCACGCAUGA